rnacentral:rRNA from 1 species
UACGUAGGGUGCGAGCGUUGUCCGGAAUUAUUGGGCGUAAAGGGCUCGUAGGCGGUUUGUCGCGUCGGCUGUGAAAGCCCGGAGCUCAACUCCGGGUCUGCAGUCGAUACGGGCAGACUUGAGUGUUGCAGGGGAGACUGGAAUUCCUGGUGUAGCGGUGAAAUGCGCAGAUAUCAGGAGGAACACCGGUGGCGAAGGCGGGUCUCUGGGCAACAACUGACGCUGAGGAGCGAAAGCGUGGGGAGCGAACAGG